GCCCUCGUGGUGUAUACUCGGUAACACGUCACGGACUCAUACGGCCAGAUCGUUUGGAUUGGCGUGACAAACCCGGUUCAAGUCCGGGCGAGGGCA